ensembl:lncRNA
AUGCAUUCAUUUGAGAGAUGCUUUUGUAUCGAUCUGACUGCAAGGGAUGAUACAGCCUUUAGAGCGGAGGAUGUCGCCCUAACCUGGCAACUUGGAUUGAAAGAUCGAGUACCACUCUCUCCUCUUCUUUCCAUCUCCUCUAGUUCAGCCAACUGGACGGUCGCUUUUGUUUCACAACAGGACCUCGGUUUUGCCUCCACUCCACGUUCCAGCCCAGUGCCCCAUACUGGGUCUGUUCGCCCAGGAGUAACAUGGAGUUCGGCCACAAGGUGUCGCUCCUGGAAAGGAAGUAGGUCGCCGAUCGAUCACCAGCCAAGUUCGGAGAGGAGAGAGAGGACAUGUAUCAAAUCCACGUUUCAAUCAGCAGGAAUAAAAAUUAAAAUAUUGAACCACGUUAGACAUUGGUAAGAAUUUCGGUCAUUAGUCUCAACCAAUAAAUAUUUUUUUACAUAAUGCUGAUUUUGAAAUGACUUUUGAAUGUAUAAUACACGUGCAUGUUAUAAACCUGUUUCACUUGAAUUUAAUUCUUAUUCUUUCUUUUGCUGGGUACUGAAUUGAAAAGAUAACAUAAGUCUUAAUCUAUCUCAUUGCCACUAGAGGGCGAAGUUACAUUAUGGGCGUAUUAAUCGGUACCAGCAGUAUUUGACAUAUCGAUAUGGCAAUAACAAAAAUAAGCAAAGAAUUCAGAGGAACGUUUUAAGUUUUGCCUUAAAUAAAUGCUCAAUACAGAAGUUAAGCAUAUUAAUUGGGGAUAUUUCUACUAUCAACCAAGUAGUCCUGCCUGAACUUUGAUUUGAAAAGAUUUUAAGUUUUCAGUUGCAAUUUCAAAUCUCCAGCAGCGCUGUUCAGCUGCGAUAAAGAUAGUUCCUUACUCAGAAUAGGCUCUGUAGGCCUACUCCAUUAACCCGGCGUUCCGGGAGACCAGGUGGCUAGAGACCUCUGCUGGAAACAAAGUGAAACUGCAAGAGUUCACAAGGUUCUCAUCAGUUUUCCGGGGUCGAUUAUCGGUUUAGAAAUUGCUUGUAACAGCUAAUCAGAACACACCCGAUUGCAAAAUAGAGGCAUUUUAAUACACUCUGUUGUAGGACACACUAUUAUAGUCCCUCCAACUCUUCAGGGUGGCUCCACGUUCUAACCAUCCAGGCAAGAUUGUAGUGACUGCGGGUUAGAUUCCCGCCUGCUGUCCUCUGCUGAAUGUCAUUCCUUCUCUCUUCUUCAACCUACUUUCAUUACACCCUUCACUCUUCUUUCCAUGAAAAAAUUAAAGCCCUAAUUAUAUAUUUAAGUAAAACAGGGACAGACGGCCCACCGUCUGUUCCUGAAAUACACACAGUCAACAGAAAGGAAGGAGGAGAAAGGAACGUUGGAGAGGAGCAGAAGGAGAAUAAGCUAGCGUUCUAUAUCGGUCGUUACAGUGCAGGGCCACUGAAAUAGACCCUGCUCAGACCACCACUCACACACUCAUCUGGCUAAUGAGUGACAGCUGAAUCAUGGGCUUUUAAUUAUGAAUGACCACCCGGUCAUUGGAGGAUGGAUGGAUACACACAGAGUCCAACACACCCACACACACACACACACACACACACACACACAUGCACACACACACACACACACACACACACACACACACACACACACACACACACACACACACACACACACACACACACACACACACACACACACACACACACACACACACACACACACACACAAUGAUGAAAAUAGGAUAUAGGCUAUAGCUUUCCAGCCCCACUCACAUCAAAUCCACAAAGCAAGCCAAAAAUGAAACGUCCUUUUUUGAUAAGAAGCUCAGGGCAACACAAUGUCAAUAUUUGUCCAACAAACUCUUGAAACCUUCCUUUUCAGUUUCAUCUUCCUCCCAAAUAAAAUGACAUGUCUUUUGGUUGAAAUUGAUUUCCAAAAUGUAUGGGACUCAGAUUCUUUGUCAUAAUAACGUAAUUGUGUUUCUUGUUAAAAGUCCACAUUCAGUAGUAGACAAAGACAUAACUAUCAGUUAACCCUGCGGGAUCACACCUCCUUCUGAUCUCUGUUCCACUGCCGCUGGAGGAACUCUCCACACUGAAAUGAAUAAGAUCAAGUGUACUGUUUUAAUCCUAGGCAGGAACCUAGGCUAUCACAGAGGAGAGUUCAGGAACAAAUAUAUGCUACUAUUACUGCUGCUAUAGACAUGACAAGGCCACCAUUAUAGAUAAGGUCAGACAUUUAACCAGGACAAUCUAUCAGUCCUUCUCUCCCUUUACCUCCCCUCAUCUCUUUGCCACUUUCUUUGCCACUCCCUCCCUCUCCCUCCCUUUCGCUCCCUUCUCUCUCCUUAGGGGUUCCUCUAGUAUAGAUGUGGGCCACCGAGACAGAGCUGAUGGGAGACUAUUAGAAUUAGAAUGGGAGCAACAGGAUAUGUCACCAGUCUAGACAGAAGUCUGGAAUACCUCCUCCAUGACCUAAGAGGAGAUAAGAGUGGAUGAGGAGAAGAGAAGGAAGGUGGAACGAGAGUAGAAGAGAAAGUGAAGGAAAAGAGAGAGGAGGAGAGAUGAAUGAAGGGGAGACAAGGAUGGAUGUGAGGAGAAAAGGUGGAGAGGAGAUGAGGAGAAAGCAGAGUGGAGGAGAGGAGAGGAAAAGGGGAGGAGAGGAGAGGGGACAAAGGCUUUUUGUUAUGAAGAACGAGAUCAGAGUUUUUAAGAGGAGAAGAAGGCGAGAGGCUGGAUUUUGAGAAAUUAGGAAAGACGGACAGAAGACAAGCAAACCUAAGUGUGAAAGGAAAAUUGAGCAAGAGAGAUAGAGAGAGAGAGAGAGAGAGAGAGAGAGAGAGAGAGAGAGAGAGAGAGAGAGAGAGAGAGAGAGAGAGAGAGAGGGGCCGUUGGAUAGAAAGAUAUAGAGGUGAAGUCAAGGCGCUGGAAGUCAAAUUACUCAUGUUGUCUCAUAUUAAUGAUAAAUGCCUUCUAUUAAAAUUGACCUCACCAUGAGUUGAGGUCAGUAUACAGACUGUUCAUUCACGCUGGGGCAGGUAGGUUCAGGUGUCCAAAUCUGCCAAAUGGAAAAUCAAAUAACUAUUUCUAAUCCAGGUGAUUAAUUCUAGUUGAUCCGGUCCAGUCUUUCCAGUCGAGCUGAUCUGGUCCAGUUCAGCCGGUCCAGUUGAUCCAGGAAUCCUGCAUGACCUUAGAGACAGUCGAGAUAAUUUUCAUGCUGAUGAAUCGUACGCACACACUCAUGCACACACGCAUGCACGCACGCACGCACACACACACAGGCACACAAACAGGCAAACACAGGCACACACAGAGCUACUGAAGGUGUCUGUUCAUAAUGAAUGGCUCGUUAUCCAGGCUAAUGGAUCAACUGAGGCAUCGACGGCGUGCUGUAUGUCUUCCUCUAAUGAACAAUGAAGCAGCUUGUAACAUGUAUUACAAACCUAAUGUUCACAGACUGCUUAGCAUCCCUCUCUCCAGCUCCGACUUCUCUCUCUGAAC